UCAAAAGAAGAAAUAGUUAGCCUUUCAAAAACUAUUCAGGCUUUUACUGUAUGCACAAUUCUGAUGGCAUGCACACUAUUUAGGCAAUGAGAAACCCCAUUUUUCAUGCUUAUUCUCAGUCAGCGCAGUUUAAGAUACUAAAGCAUUUUAAAAAUUAAAUGUCAAUAGUUUAUGGUUGUACUUUGACAACUUUUAUGUUAUGAAAAGUUUCUCUUCCACGUAAACUAAUUGUAUAGGAAGUAAUUAAAAAAAAAAAAAUCAUCAAGCAAAAGGAUUAAGCAUGAGAAGAUGGCUUAUUUUAUAAAAACAAACAAACAAACCCCCACACCAGUAGGCAAUUUUCUGCCUUCACACACACACAUUCUUCAUGUGCGAGUUCCAGAUAAAAAAUAAAUAAAUCAAUAAAGUUCUUGGUGUAAGUUAACUUCAGAUAUCGUGAAGGUUUCUUUGAAAGUAUGGAGGCUGGGAUAAUCUUAUUCCUCUGAAUUGACUAUGGAACCUAAUAAUCUUUUUGGGUCACAGUAUUUGACAGUUCAUAAUUGCUGUAUUUCAAAAUCAUUAGCAUAGUGUAACCCAAUUAUAAAGCCUCCUUAUGUAAGAGUCAAAAGUACACAAAAAUUAGUAAUAUGAGAAAUUUCCAUUCCAGUCUAUUCUAGGCGAGAUCCUAAGUUAUCAGAUUUUUGGCAACCAAGUUCCCAUCAAUUUUAGUGAAACAAAAUUGGACUACAGGCAUAGCCGAACUAUAGGAAAGUUUAUCAAGGGAUGGUAUCAAGCUUUAAAAUAAAUCUUCUUUGCACUUAUCUGACAGAAUCUGACUUGAAAAUACUGCAGAAGCACCAGAAGAGGAAGUAUAAGGAAAGCAGUUAUUUUCCCUACUUCUGCUUUUGGACCCUGAUUGUACAAAAGGAGUUUGCCGUUGCCAAAACUAUUUUCAAAUUCAGGGCUUUAAUAGGGCACAAAGUCUAAAAGAAGACACGAGGAACUUUGAUUUCUUAAGAGAAGAAAAAAAAAAAAACUGUUUAAAUUUUAGGAAGAACUAUGUCUUAAAAGUUGAAUGCCAGCAGGGUAUAAACAUCAUUCUUCAGUUGUCUUAUAAACAUUUAGUAGUGCUCAAUUUAGCAGCUUUUACUGUAUUAAAUACUGAACAGAAAACACAUGAAGCAAAUGUAUGGCCACAAAUAGAGUAGAGUUAACUACCUUAAAUACAAUAAUCAGACCUUCCACUGAGGUCAUGGGAUCCAAUUCCCCACAGUUUCUAACAGGCUGCUUGCACCUGUGCAAAAAACUAUACCUGGGGUUAGCAGUUUUUAACCCAUUUUGCAUAUUUAGAAGACUCCAAAUGAGAGAGAGAGGCAGGCAGGAUGGAUCAUCAACAUUUUAAGCCUUUUGUUCUACCUCACCCUUAUGAAAAGGAUGCAGGUGGAGUAAAAAAGAAACAGCUGGUUGUCACUUUGCCAUGAAAGUAUCUUCAAUUAAUGCAGCUGGUCAUAAUAUUGCCCUGUUUGCAAUGAAAAGGGCAUGGUUGCUUGUGAAAACCCCUUGAAACAACUGCUCAAAAAUAUCAAUGUGGAGAGCAACCUGGCAGUGUGCGAUGGAGACACUGAGAUCCUUGAAGAAAAGAAACACUGAAAGGGAUGGUUUGGUAAACAUCAAGGAAGUGGACAUGGCUGCUUCUGUAUAGGGGAGAGUGGAGUGUGCAUCUUCCUUUCCCCUUCCUGAGCUGGUUUCCCCACUCUAGCUUCUCCCAAGUUGAUCCUUUUCUUUUUCAAUGGUAAUGGAAAAGACAAAUUACAAUAAAGAUGGAAUUGCAGAAGAAAGCAUUUGCAUU